rnacentral:rRNA from 1 species
ACUGCUCAGUAACACGUGGACAACCUACCCUAAGGAGGGGGAUAACCCCGGGAAACUGGGGAUAAUACCCCAUAGACUAGAGAAGCUGGAAUGCUCUCAAGUCCAAAGGUCCGCCGCCUUAGGAUGGGUCUGCGGUCGAUUAGGUUGUUGUUGGGGUAACGGCCCAACAAGCCCGUGAUCGAUACGGGUUGUGAGAGCAAGAGCCCGGAGAUGGAUUCUGAGACACGAAUCCAGGCCCUACGGGGCGCAGCAGGCGCGAAAACUUUACAAUGCGGGAAACCGUGAUAAGGGAACCCCGAGUGCCCGUAAAUUCGGGCUGUCCAUCAGCGUAAAUAACUGGUGAAGAAAGGGCCGGGCAAGACCGGUGCCAGCCGCCGCGGUAAUACCGGCGGCUCGAGUGGUGGCCACUAUUAUUGGGCUUAAAGCGUCCGUAGCUUGGUUGUUAAGUCUCUUGGGAAAUCUACCGGCUCAACCGGUAGGCGUUCAGGAGAUACUGGCAAUCUAGGGACCGGGAGAGGUGAGAGGUACUCCAGGGGUAGGAGUGAAAUCCUGUAAUCCUUGGGGGACCACCUGUGGCGAAGGCGUCUCACUAGAACGGCUCCGACAGUGAGGGACGAAAGCUGGGGGAGCAAACCGGAUUAGAUACCCGGGUAGUCCCAGCUGUAAACGAUGCGCGUUAGGUGUAUCGGUGACCACGAGUCACCGAGGUGCCGAAGGGAAACCGUGAAACGUGCCGCCUGGGGAGUACGGUCGCAAGGCUGAAACUUAAAGGAAUUGGCGGGGGAGCAC